AGUAUCUAUUUUACUUCCACAAUCCCUCCCAGACUCUCCCUCUACCAAACGCUGUACAUCUUAGCUACCUCCUGGGCCAACUCAAUCCAUCUCCACAUAGAUAGACCUAUACUCUUAGCAACCUCCUGGGCCAACUCAAUCCAUCUCCACAUAGAUAGACCUAUAAUCUUAGCUACCUCCUGGGCCAACUCAAUCCAUCUCCACAUAGAUAGACCUAUAUUCUUAGCUACCUCCUGGGCCAACUCAAUCCAUCUCCACAUAGAUAGACCUAUACGCUUAGCUACCUCCUGGGCCAACUCAAUCCAUCUCCACAAAGAUAGACCUAUAAUCUUAGUUACCUCCUGGGCCAACUCAAUCCAUCUCCACAUAGAUAGACCUAUAAUCUUAGUUACCUCCUGGGCCAACUCAAUCCAUCUCCACAUAGAUAGACCUAUAACCUUAGUUACCUCCUGGGCCAACUCAAUCCAUCUCCACAUAGAUAGACCUAUAAUCUUAGUUACCUCCUGGGCCAACUCAAUCCAUCUCCACAUAGAUAGACCUAUACUCUUAGCUACCUCCUGGGCCAACUCAAUCCAUCUCCACAAAGAUAGACCUAUAAUCUUAGUUACCUCCUGGGCCAACUCAAUCCAUCUCCACAUAGAUAGACCUAUACUCUUAGCUACCUCCUGGGCCAACUCAAUCCAUCUCCACAUAGAUAGACCUAUACUCUUAGCUACCUCCUGGGCCAACUCAAUCCAUCUCCACAUAGAUAGACCUAUACUCUUAGCUACCUCCUGGGACAGAUUCAGCCUCAUCUACCUCAGAUUGGUAGCACAGGAAUGGUCAGUCACCCUUGUUUCCAUCGCUCAGUCAGGUUCAUUGACAUCCGCUCUACUAUCAAUUGCAAUAAGAAGACAACUGGGAAUGGGACUGACACACAGACAGCCAAAGCAAUCUUGUUCUUUCUUUUUUGAUUGUUUACCUGAUCUGAACCAUAUUGUCCCAAAGCUCAGUCUGUUCAAAUUCACCAUUCACCUGGAUUCACCAUUCACCUGGAUUCACCAUUCAUCUGGAUUCACCAUUCACCUGGAUUUACCAUUCACCUGGAUUUACCAUUCACCUGGAUUCACCAUUCACCUGGAUUUACCAUUCACCUGGAUUUACCAUUCACCUGGAUUCACCUGGAUUUACCAUUCACCUGGAUUCACCAUUCACCUGGAUUUACCAUUCACCUGGAUUUACCAUUCACCCUGA
rnacentral:lncRNA from 1 species